GGUUUGAGCAGGGCUCUGUGUGCGCAGCUGAAGAUAGGCUUCCGCGGUCAAAUAGACGAAUAGACAGCGACGGAGAUAUGAACGGUUUUCUCUUCCCGUUCUCUUGUCAGUUCUCACUUUAAUCUUGACAAAUGUGAGCUAGACAACUUUACAUUUUCUACGUUUUUGGUCGUAACGUGUUGCCUAUUUUGGAGUGCUUUGUUGUUUUCAGAGUUUAAGAAAGGUCGAACGCGCCGCGCAACAACUGCAGGCGGCGUUGGAUUAUUCCCGUGGCGGAAUAUUUUGGUGGACAGUCACUGUCCUACACAUUGCAUACGGGAUAUUCAAAACAUUUAGAAGUUGCGAUUGGUGUCACAUUUCUCCGUGACUUUUAGGUAUGCCUGUGGUUGUCAGCGCGUCUCCGGACAGGUAACCGGGCGUGUUGCUGGUGCCAUGGCAACGCCAGAGCUGCGGCUGUUACCUGUCAUUGUGGUUGCCGUUAUCCUGGUGGCGUUGUCGGCUGCGGAUGACCACGACUGGCACUUUAAACCAGCUCAGUGUCGUUAUGCCCUUGGGAUGGAGGAUGGCACCAUCCCUGACUCUGACAUAACGGCUUCCAGCGCCUGGUCAGACUCUACUGAGGCCAAACACGGCAGGUUGAGUACAGGAGAGGGGGACGGUGCAUGGUGUCCUGCAGGAGCGGUGUUCCCCACUGCUUCAGAGUACCUCCAGGUGGACCUGCGCUCGCUGCACUUUCUGGCUCUGGUGGGUACCCAGGGUCGCCAUGCCGACGGGCACGGCCGGGAGUUUGCCCGCAGCUACCGGCUCCGUUACUCCAGAGAUAGACGCACCUGGAUCACCUGGAAGGACCGCUGGGGGCAGGAGGUGGUGUCUGGGAAUGAGAACACCUAUGAUGUGGUUCUGAAGGACCUGGGUCCACCCAUUGUUGCCCGCUAUGUCCGCUUCUACCCCCUGGCAGACCGGGUCAUGAGCGUCUGUCUACGAGUGGAGCUCUAUGGCUGUCUGUGGAACGAUGGCCUGUUGGUGUACACAGCUCCAGUGGGUCAUGUGAUGCACCUGUCUGGCUCACCUGUGUACCUCAACGAUUCCACCUACGAUGGCAGCAUAGAGGCAGGGGUUCAGUUCGGAGGCCUGGGCCAGCUGUUUGACGGUGUGUUAGGAGGGGAUGACUUCACAGAGACCAAGGAGCUGAGGGUGUGGCCGGGGUAUGACUACCUGGGCUGGAGCAGAGAGGCUCUGGGGCAGGGCAGCGUUGACAUAGAGUUCCACUUCGAAAAGACACGCAGCUUCCACACCAUGCAGGUCCACAGUAAUAACCGCCACACCCAGGGUGUGAGGGUCUUCAGUAAGGUAGAGUGUCAGUUUAAACCUGGCCUGUUACUCCCCUGGUCCUCGCCCCCCCUCUCCCUGGCUGUACCCCUGGAGGACCUGAAGGACCCCUCCUCACGCCCCAUCUCCCUGCCCCUGGGGGGUCGCCCCGCCCAGAUCUUACGCUGCCAGUUUGCCUUCGCAGACCGAUGGAUGCUCAUCUCUGAGAUCUCCUUUUACUCUGAGCCGUAUGGGGAGGGUGUCGACCCCGUGGACACGGGCUCUGCUCUUCCUGCUCCUCCGGUCUCCUCCGCUACUCCUCCUCCUCCUGUCUUCCCUUCCUCUGUCAGCCCCGCCCUCAACCACAACUUCACUAGCGUUCCCUCAGAACCCCCCACCACCAACCCCAUGAUGGACAGCACGGGUAACAGCACACUGUCAGGGGCCGACUUCGAUGCCAUGACCCCGAGGGCGGGCCUUCCUGUCGCCAAGGACGACAGCAGUAACACAGCCAUCCUGAUUGGCUGCCUGGUGGGCAUCAUCCUGCUGCUAUUAGCUGUGAUCGCUGUCAUUCUGUGGAGGCAAUACUGGAAGAAGAUACUGGGCAAGGCCCAGGGCAGUCUGUCCAGUGACGAGUUGCGUGUCCAUCUGUCCGUCCCCUCGGACAACGUGGUGAUCAACAACACACACAGCUACUCCAGCCGCUACCAGCGAAUACACACAUUCCCUGACGACAGGGACAGGGAGCGCUGCGACGGAGAGGGAGAGUACCAGGAGCCCAGCGCACUGCUCCGACCACGAGACCACACUGGACGAGACAGCACCGCCUUGCUGUUAAACAACCCAGCCUAUGACCUCCUCCUGUCAGAUCAGAGGCAGCAUGGCUCAGGCUCCUCGUGGCCCCUAACCGUCCCAUUGGCCAGGGCCAGCUCCUCCCACCCUCAGGAGAAGAGCCUCAAUAAUGGGGCCCAGGCCUGUGGUAUGGACUUGGAGAAGGGCUUACCCCCCACCCAGGAGGAGCCUCCCCCGUACCCCGAUGCCCCUCCCUACCCGGCCCUGUCUCCCCCCUUCCCCGCCAGCGUGCCCCACUAUGCAGAGGCGGACAUCGUUAGCCUGCAGGGCGUCAGUGGUAACAAUACGUAUGCAGUGCCAGCCCUGACCUCCCCCAGCCCCACUGCAGCAGACUGCACCCCCCUGCCUGAACUGCCCCGACACUGUCUGGUCUUCAAGGAGAAACUGGGAGAAGGACAGUUUGGAGAGGUGCACCUGUGCGAGAUAGAGAGCCCUCAGGACCUGCCUAACCUGGAGUUCCCUUUCAACGUGAGGAAAGGACGCCCUCUGCUGGUGGCUGUUAAGAUACUGCGCCCUGACGCCUCCAAGAAUGCCAGGAAUGACUUCCUAAAGGAGGGGAAGAUUCUGUCUCGUCUGAAGGACCCCAACAUCAUCCGUCUGUUGGGAGUGUGUGUGAGCAGCGAUCCUCUCUGUAUGGUCACAGAGUACAUGGAGAGUGGAGACCUCAACCAGUACCUCUCACACAGAGUCCUGCUGGACAAGACUGGACCCACACACAACACCCCCACCAUCAGUUACCCUGCUCUGAUCGCCAUGGCCAGUCAGAUAGCUUCAGGGAUGAAGUUUCUGUCGUCUCUGAACUUCGUGCACCGUGACCUGGCCACAAGAAACUGCCUGGUGGGGGGUGAGAAGGGCGAGAGCGGGGCGACCCGGGGCGGGAGCGACCCAUCAAGAUCGCCGACUUUGGGAUGAGCAGAAACCUGUAUGCUGGAGACUAUUACCGCAUCCAGGGGCGGGCUGUGCUGCCUAUACGAUGGAUGGCCUGGGAGUGUAUCCUGAUGGGGAAGUUCACCACAGCCAGUGACGUGUGGGCGUUUGGUGUGACUCUGUGGGAGAUGCUGAGUGUGUGUCAGGAGCAACCCUACUCCAACCUGACUGAUGAACAGGUCAUAGACAAUGCUGGAGAGUUCUUCAGGGACCACGGAAGACAGGUGUAUCUGAGCAGACCAGGUGUGUGUCCUCAGGGUCUCUAUGACCUCAUGCUGAGCUGCUGGAACCGGGACUGCAAGCUCCGCCCAUCAUUUGCCCACAUUCACUCCUUCCUCACAGAGGAUGCCAUGAACAUGGUGUAGAGAGAGAGAGAGAGAGAGGAAUGGAAGAGUGAGAUGGAGAGAGGAUGAGAGACGGCUCCUCCUACCUCCAUUCAUCACAGAGAUGAGUGCUUUGAGCGAGGGAUGUGUGUAGAAGUGGUGGAGGUGUAGAGGGAGAGGUGUGCAGUAGAGGGAUGUGUGCCUGCUUGUAUAUUUUGUAUUUCUCUAUGAUGGGCGGAUGUGGCCGAGACACUGCUGGUUCGGUUUUCACUCCCACAAGACAGACCCCCCCCCUGAGUAGUCUCUAGAGUGUAGCACAACACAACGGUUGGUGCGGUGGUGGGUUGGUGUCUGAUUCUGCAUGGUCCGUCACUGGUCUGCCAGCUAACACAGGGAAGCUGUAAGACAUGUAUGGGGAGGUGAUGUGACAAUGCUUGGUAAUGUAGAUGAAGCUAAAAUGAAUGUGUAACGCUGAUUAACGUUUAUCAAAGAAUAUCAACAAUACCAAUCUGAUUAUGUAUCAAUGUCAGACUUUAAUACUCUGAAAUGUGAUCAUAGUUUAAUAGCAUAUUAACAUUUUGGGAUAAACUUAAUAACACAUCGUCCUAUAUAGAUAUUUUAUUACUUGACAUGCUAAUGUUUUUGGUAUUGUAUAAAUCAUGUGCUAGGGUUACUGGUGAAGGUCUAUAUAUAUUCUCAUACUGUCAACAUUUCUCCAUCUCAAAACGGUACGCACACAUUUUUCACACAGAGAUGAAAUUGCACACAAGGUUUGCUGUCUUAGUACUAUAUAUAAAACGAGUAUGUCCCAGUAAACUCCAGUAUGUUUCACUAGUUUUCAGUAUAUAACCCAGUUCUUCCCAGACCCUUAUUCCCAGCCCCAAACCCUCCAUCCCAGACCCUUAUUCCCAGCCCCAAACCCUCCACCCCAGACCCUUAUUCCCAGCCCCAAACCCUCCAUCCCAGACCCUUAUUCCCAGCCCCAAACCCUCCAUCCCAGACCCUUAUUCCCAGCCCCAAACCCUCCAUCCCAGCCCCAAACCCUCCAUCCCAGACCCUUAUUCCCAGCCCCAAACCCUCCAUCCCAGAACCUUAUUCCCAGCCCCAAACCCUCCACCCCAGACCCUUAUUCCCAGCCCCAAACCCUCCAUCCCAGACCCUUAUUCCCAGCCCCAAACCCUCCACCCCAGACCCUUAUUCCCAGCCCCAAACCCUCCACCCCAGACCCUUAUUCCCAGCCCCAAACCCUCCACCCCAGACCCUUAUUCCCAGCUCCAAACCCUCCAUCCCAGACCCUUAUUCCCAGCCCCAAACCCUCCAUCCCAGACCCUUAUUCCCAGCCCCAAACCCUCCACCCCAGCCCCUUAUUCCCAGCCCCAGCCCCAAACCCUCCACCCCAGCCCCUUAUUCCCAGCCCCAAACCCUCCACCCCAGCCCCUUAUUCCCAGCCCCAAACCCUCCACCCCAGACCCUUAUUCCCAGCCCCAAACCCUCCAUCCCAGACCCUUAUUCCCAGCCCCAAACCCUCCAUCCCAGACCCUUAUUCCCAGCCCCAAACCCUCCAUCCCAGCCCCAAACCCUCCAUCCCAGACCCUUAUUCCCAGCCCCAAACCCUCCACCCCAGACCCUUAUUCCCAGCCCCAAACCCUCCACCCCAGACCCUUAUUCCCAGCUCCAAACCCUCCAUCCCAGACCCUUAUUCCCAGCCCCAAACCCUCCAUCCCAGACCCUUAUUCCCAGCCCCAAACCCUCCACCCCAGCCCCUUAUUCCCAGCCCCAAACCCUCCACCCCAGCCCCUUAUUCCCAGCCCCAAACCCUCCACCCCAGACCCUUAUUCCCAGCCCCAAACCCUCCAUCCCAGACCCUUAUUCCCAGCCCCAAACCCUCCAUCCCAGCCCCUUAUUCCCAGCCCCAAACCCUCCAUCCCAGACCCUUAUUCCCAGCCCCAAACCCUCCACCCCAGACCCCAGUCUAAGGUUCGGUCUCAUGGAGCCAGACGAGGCUGAAUAUUGCAUUAUAUUCCUCUGGCCUACCCGUUACGCCUGAGCUUUAAAGUCUGGCAAGCAGAAUGAUGGUAUCUCAUACACAGGCCAGUAACAGACACAGCAACAGGUGUUCCACCAGCAGUCUGUAACACCAGGCAUUAGACAGACACACGAACACUGCAGUCAGUCAGUCAGUCAGCUCCUCAGUCCAGACUUGGCUGGCAUUGUGACUAUAGUCUGCCACAUUCUGCCUCCCACUCCAACCAACUGUCAUUCUGCAGUCUCACUCAUAUAUCUCACAACUGAUCCACUCUGAGCUGUAACUAUGGAGUUAUACUGGACUGAUGUGAACUGAUCUGGACUCGAGGACUCUUUCCAGGACAGGAAGUGUGUGGUUGUUACUCUACCAGACCUCCAAACUGAAACCCUUUGGACCUCCAGAGCCAGAGAGAACUGACUGGUGUCACGUGACGUGAGCCUCACUGACUGAGAGAACAGAUACAGUAGGGGAGGUGCACUGUGAACCGCUACAGCCUAUGAGAGUUGAACUUAACAGAAGAGAGACGUCCUUCCUGAUGGGAGCUGGAAUAGUACAGCCCACAGCAACACAGCAACACAGACAACACUGCCUGCGCUGUGACAUCACAUGUGAAAUUGACAGUUGUGAUUGGUGACUAGCUGAUGAAACAGCAUAACAUGGAUGGACAGAUGGAUUGACGACUAGAGGGGAGUGGGGGCUGAUAUAUGUAAAUGACCAUUUUCAUGUGUAAUUGAGGUGAGCGACGUGAUGAUUUUCUACCAGCGAUGGAUAGCGGAGCUGGGUCUGACUCAGUGACCCAGAUGGAGAAAGGAGGUUCAUGUAUAUGUCCAAUACACUACCAGCUGCACUUUAAAGGCUGUUUCUGGCUGCACGCCCCAAUACCUGCAUUAGAAUACUAGAGUCGUGACCAGUCUUGGGGCAUAGUUACAGUACUUGUAGUAUAACAACUAAUUAACGGCACUUUCAGAGUAGGUCCCCCAACACUGGUAUGCUAGUUACUAUACUAGUAUCAUGUUGGUAUGCUAGUUACUAUACUAGUAUCAUGUUGGUAUGCUAGUUACUAUACUAGUAUCAUGUUGGUAUGCUAGUUACUAUACUAGUAUCAUGUUGGUAUGCUAGUUACUAUACUAGUAUCAUGUUGGUAUGCUGGUCUGGAUGUUGGAGCGUACAGUCUGGAUCCCCUUGGCGUUAGAACCCAUAGCAGUCCAACAUGGCAUUGCUGGUCAAAAUAGAUGUAGUUCUAAACAGAAAUACAGGUCAGUGUCUUGUGAUUUAUCUACUUAAAGUGGAUCAUUUAUUCAUGAUUCAUAUCAGUGGAUUGUUGUUCAAAUAGAACUGCCUCAUAAAAGGUGUUCUCAAGGAGGAAAAUAAAGGUUUGGAAAACCUCCGCAUUAUGAGGAAAGGCAGAGUACACCAAAUGCUCAUCCCCAAACUGCCAGUGUUACAUACAUACCCAUCAGACGUAACGGUUGAAACAUCCCAAUCACAAAGAACAUAACACUCAUGAGGAGAGGAACACUAACAACUGUAUCCAAAGCCUUUUAGUUUGUCAGUGACCUUCCAUCUACAUUAUCCCAACAUAAGCUGACCAUGGUGGACUCUGCCUUACUGAUUGUAGUUCUGUAUAAUGUGUCAGGUUUGAUCAAGAUCAAAUCAUCCUUAUUUACUGAUUGAAUGAGUGUGAAUGGAGGUGCCAUAUGAAUACAGUACGUGCUUCUCGAUUGACCUUUUUCGAUACACUGUAGCCAAAAUAAACCCAUAUCUGUAUAUAUAUUUCCUGUAUACGUACUUAGAAUCUCCUUGUCAGUGAUGACGUCAUCCUUUGUCUUUGAAGCUGAACCUGAUGUGUACAUAUUUUAAGGACAGAAUUUUUAUUUCAUUGACUAAUAUAUGGAAUUUCUUUGUUACAGUUGGGGUCUCUUCCUUUUGUUCCUUUGUAGAAAGCUUGCUACCUUAUCUUGAUGCCAUUGUAAUUCAUUGUGUUGUCUAUUUUUGUAGUUUUAAUAAAGUUAAUCUUUCCAAAUAAA